rnacentral:rRNA from 1 species
UAAUACGUAGGGGGCAAGCGUUGUCCGGAUUUAUUGGGCGUAAAGCGCACGCAGGCGGUCCGAUACGUUUCCAGUGACAGUGCUCGGCUUAACUGAGCAAGGUCUGGGAAAACGGUCGGACUUGAGGACCAGAGAGGGACAUAGAAUUCCGGGUGGAGUGGUGAAAUGCGUAGAUAUCCGGAGGAAUACCAAAGGCGAAGGCAGUGUCCUGGCUGGUAACUGACGCUCAGGUGCGAAAGCUAGGGGAGCGAACAGGAUUAGAUACCCUGGUAGUCCUAGCCGUAAACGAUGACCACGAGGUGUGGGGGGUAUCGACCCCCUCCGUGCCGACGCAUACGCAAUCAGUGGUCCGCCUGGGGAGUACGGUCGCAAGAUUA